UACGUAGGGGCCGAGCGUUGUCCGGAGUUAUUGGGCGUAAAGCGCGCGCAGGCGGCUUCGCGCGCCCGCCGUGAAAGCCCCCGGCUUAACCGGGGAGAGUCGGUGGGGACGGCGGAGCUUGAGGGCGGGAGAGGUCGGUGGAAUUCCCGGUGUAGUGGUGAAAUGCGUAGAGAUCGGGAGGAACACCUGUGGCGAAGGCGGCCGACUGGGCCGACCCUGACGCUGAGGCGUGAAGGCGUGGGGAGCGAACGGG
rnacentral:rRNA from 1 species